rnacentral:sRNA from 1 species
AAGUAACCACCCCGCACCUGCAGCUGCCAAGCUGGGCACACAGGGCGGCACCCUUCUGGGCUGUCCACCUCUACCUCGAGCCUGAUGCUAGUAUGGGGGGUUACACUGGGGACAUUUAUUCCAAUUCUAACUUGAAGAAUAAAAAUGACCUCUUUGAAUACAAGUUUGCAACUGGCCAGUGGACGGAGUGGAAAAUUGAAGGACGGUUGCCAGUCGCUAGGUCAGCCCAUGGGGCCACGGUGUACAGUGACAAGCUGUGGAUCUUUGCUGGCUAUGACGGCAACGCCAGGUUGAAUGACAUGUGGACAAUUGGCCUCCAGGACCGAGAGCUCACCUGCUGGGAGGAGGUGGCCCAGAGUGGGGAGAUCCCCCCAUCUUGCUGCAACUUCCCCGUGGCUGUGUGCCGGGACAAGAUGUUUGUAUUCUCUGGGCAAAGCGGAGCCAAAAUAACCAACAACCUCUUCCAGUUUGAAUUCAAGGACAAGACGUGGACACGCAUCCCAACUGAACACCUGCUCCGGGGCUCCCCACCACCCCCG